rnacentral:rRNA from 1 species
CGUUCCCGGGCCUUGUACACACCGCCCGUCAAGUCAUGAAAGUCGGUAACACCCGAAGCCGGUGGCCCAACCCUUGUGGAGGGAGCCGUCGAAGGUGGGAUCGGUGAUUAGGACU